rnacentral:rRNA from 1 species
AAGCGUUUGCGACCAGACUUGGGCCGGUUGAUCAUCCAGCGUUCUCGCUGGUGCACUCUGCCGGCCCAGGCCAGCAUCAGUUCGCCGCGGGGGAGAAAGGCGGAGGGAAUGUGGCUCCCUCGGGAGUGUUAUAGCCCACCGUGCAAUACCCUGCAGCGGACUGAGGUUCGCGCAUCUGCAAGGAUGCUGGCGUAAUGGUCGCCAACGA